AGCAGCCGCGGUAAUUCCAGCUCCAAUAGCGUAUAUUAAAGUUGUUGCAGUUAAAAAGCUCGUAGUUGAAUUUCGGGACUAAUAUGUCGGUCGUACUUUGUACGUACUAGCAUUAUUGGUUUCUCCCUUCUGACGAACCACGAUGUCAUUAAUUUGGUGUCAUGGGAAAUCAGGACUGUUACUUUGAAAAAAUUAGAGUGUUUAAAGCAAGCUCGCGCUUGAAUACAUUAGCAUGGAAUAAUGAAAUAGGACGUUUGAUUCUAUUUUGUUGGUUUCUAGGAUCGACGUAAUGAUUAAUAGGGAUAGUUGGGGGCAUUAGUAUUCAAUUGUCAGAGGUGAAAUUCUUGGAUUUAUUGAAGACUAACUACUGCGAAAGCAUUUGCCAAGGAUGUUUUCAUUAAUCAAGAACGAAAGUUAGGGGAUCGAAGACGAUCAGAUACCGUCGUAGUCUUAACCAUAAACUAU
rnacentral:rRNA from 1 species